GGGCGCCUCAGGUUCUCACUCCCCAGAGCCCCUGAUCCCACAGGGCUCGCAGGGCAGGUGGGAGGCAGCACAGGGCUGUCAGUACCAGUUAUCCCUCUUGUCCUCGAGCCGUGUGUGCAGGUCCUGUCCCCUCCCCUUGCCCCAAAGCCCUGCUGGGGCUUGGCUGUGCUCUGGGCAGCGCUGCCAGGUGCCUGCGAGGUCUCUCGGGUUACCAGCAGCUUCCCCUGGUAGGUGGCUGGAAAGGCAGCGAUGCCUCCCUGGCCUGGUUUCCUUUGUGAAAGCACCAGCAGCAGCGGGAAUGUCACAGGAUCUGCUCUCCCCGAGCGACAGGAGGAGAAAAGGGCUCUGUGUCCAGCUCCCCAGGCCGGGCUGUGUGGGCAGCACUGUCCAUCUGUGCUGCCAUCGCCUCUCGGGGCGAGCUGGGAGCAAAACAUCGAGGGAUGGGGGAGAUUUUGGCUGCUGUGAAGGCUGGAGCGUUUAGGGGAGGGGGCCAUGCUGCUGCUGGGGAGGCUGUGAGGGUGAUGGAGCGCUGCUGGCCCGGCUGGGACCGCUCCAACCUCCCGGUGGCCCCUUCGCAAAGUAUCUCACAAAUGCUGAACUUGGCCCCGAAAUCUAAAUACAAGGCAGGGACAGUCCCCAGAUGGCCUAAAUCAGCAGCACGGUUGCCUGGCCCAGCUGGGGAGCUCGCCGGGAGUGUUUGUUUAAUGGGAAAGCAGAGGCUGCAGGAAUGCUGGCCUGGAAGGAGACCUUGGAAGGGGAAAGCGUUCGUGCCAUGCACACGUGUGAGGGAGAUCCCAGAGAGGCAGCGGGGCCCAGAGAGCUGCUCCUCUCUGCUGGGAUGGGCUGAGGGGGAAGGAAUUCCCCUGGCUCCUGGUUUGAGGUGCAGGGAAGGCGGUGUGGCUGCUGGGUGGCUUCUCCUGCUGCUGGGGGUGAACUGGGGGCUCCCCAUGUGCCAUCAUCCCCCUGGGGGCUCAGGCUGUGCCUCCCUGGGCUGCUCAGGGAAUGAGACCAUGUGCCACCAGUGCCAUGCCACGGGGCACUCCUGCCCUGGCCAGGCCCAUCCCGGAGCCAGGCGCGGGAGGGUUGGGCAGGGGACUUUGCCCCAGCGUGGGGCCAGAGUCCGUCCUGCCCUGCCCGUGCUGCGGCCGCUCCUCUGGGGGACAGCGGGGUGUCACAGCCUGGCUCUGGGUACAGGAGGGGGUGGAGGUGUCCCCAUGUCCUGCUGGCACCCCUGGGUGGGUGCUGUGGCUCCCGGUGGCGGUGUCCGGCCGGGCAGGACCGGGCUGUGCUGGGGCCAUCGCUGCCCGCUGUGCCCCGGGGCCGGGCGGGCCCCGGCGGGGACGUGGCCCCGUCCCACGGCUCCUUGCGAAGCCACACGUCCGUGUCCCUUCCCCGGGCGUGUCACGGGGCGCGGUGUCGCCGGCGGUGCCCGGAGGGAGGAAGAGGGCGGCCACGGGCCCUUCCUCCCCGGCUGCCUCUGCCGGGACCACCUGGGGCUGCCUGGCGCCACGGGGUGCGGCCGCACGCUCGCUGGCCUUGUCCCCUCCUUGGGCUGGACGGCUGGGCUGGUGGCCCCGGGGCGGCCGAGGGAAGGAGGAACGUGCCCGG
rnacentral:lncRNA from 14 species